AUACGUAGGUGACAAGCGUUAUCCGGAUUUACUGGGCGUAAAGGGCGUGUAGGCGGUCUUGCAAGUCAGAAGUGAAAUUCCUGAGCUCAACUCGGGCGCUGCUUCUGAAACUGCAGGACUUGAGUGCUGGAGGGGAUAGCGGAAUUCCUAGUGGAGCGGUAAAAUGCGCAGAUAUUAGGAAGAACACCGGUGGCGAAGGCGGUUAUCUGGACAGUAACUGACGCUGAGGCGCGAAAGCGUGGGGAGCAAACAGGAUUAGAUCCCCUGGUAGUCCACGCCGUAAACGAUGAAUACUAGGUGUAGGGGGUAUCGACUCCCUCUGUGCCGCAGUUAACACAAUAAGUAUUCCGCCUGGGGAGUACGGCCGCAAGGUUGAAACUCAAAUGAAUUGGCGGGG
rnacentral:rRNA from 1 species